CUAAAUUGUUGUUUAUUUAUUUUUAGCUAAAACUUUAUAUUUAAAAUUUCUGUUCUUUUUUUUUGUAGAUCUUUGGAGGUUAGGAAGUCAAUAAUUUUCUUUCUUAGUGAAAUCUUUAAGAGAGUUUUUUUCAAGAAAGGAUAAAUUUAGUGCCAGCAUUUGCGGUUAAACUAAAGUUUUUAAAAAUAAUUAUUAAGGUAAAUAGUUUAUAUGAAUAGAGUUAUAUAUUGUUAGGUGAAAUUUAUUAAAUUAAUUAUUCUUAAAUAUUAUAAGAAAAUGAGAUUAUUGAACUAGGAUUAGAUACCCUACUACACUCAUAAUUAUUCUCCUUGAAAGAUUAAAGAUAAAAUUUGAAGAUUUGGCGGCUUUUUUAUUUAGAGGAACUUGUCUAUUAAAUUGAUAAUCCUCAAUAGUUUCGUUUUUAAAUUAAUUUUGUAUACCAUCAUUUUAAUAAUUUUAAGAUAAAUAAUUAUUUAAAAUUUUUAAGAGAAAUUAGAUCUAGGUGCAGAUAUAUUUAAAAUUAGAUUAGUUACAAUAAUUUUUUUUACAGUAAUAGAUUAAAUUUUAGUAAAAGGUGGAUUUAAAUGUAAUAUAAGUAUAUAUAUGAAAAUUAAUGAUUUAGUGUACAAAUUGCCCGUCACUCUCUUUGAGAUAAGUCGAAACAAAGUAGAAAUACCUGAAGGUAUUUCU
rnacentral:rRNA from 1 species